CUGGGAGAGCGCGUGCUUUGCAAGCAUGAGGUCGUCGGUUCGAUCCCGUCUGGCUCCACCAGAUGGUUUGAUCACCGAGAUCUUGACCGUCGUCCGCGAAACAUCACUUCGCAUCCUGCUAGUCUGGAUAGACAGCAGUUUGCGUGUUUUCUGACAUCGUAAAGAGGAGAUCGAUCCGAGUUGGGUCGUGCAGCAUAUCGUUGCGCGAGCCUUCAUUAUCUCCGGAUCAUUUCGGCGCUCGCUUCCAGCCGUGAGGUUGGAUGCGGGUUGUAAAUGAUCCUUUUAGCGAAGCUUGACCGCCUCGCUAUCGGAACGAUCUUACGAAGCAAGCUGGUCUUUCUAGUCAAUGUCCGGCUGCGGAUAGCGUUCAUCGAGGGCGCGUGCCGCAAGGCAAUUCCGCAGACAACAUUCUGCCGAGUGUGUGGACAUUGAUAAUGAGAGCAAUCAAGUGCCUUAAGGGUGUUCGGUGGAUGCCUUGGCGCUGAGAGGCGAUGAAGGACGUGCUACGCUGCGAUAAGCCGUGGGGAGCUGCGAAGAAGCUUUGAUCCGCGGAUUUCCGAAUGG
rnacentral:misc_RNA from 1 species